UAGACCGCCUGGGGAGUACGGCCGCAAGGUUAAAACUCAAAUGAAUUGACGGGGGCCCGCACAAGCGGUGGAGCAUGUGGUUUAAUUCGAUGCAACGCGAAGAACCUUACCUGGUCUUGACAUCCACGGAAGUUUUCAGAGAUGAGAAUGUGCCUUCGGGAACCGUGAGACAGGUGCUGCAUGGCUGUCGUCAGCUCGUGUUGUGAAAUGUUGGGUUAAGUCCCGCAACGAGCGCAACCCUUAUCCUUUGUUGCCAGCGAUUAGGUCGGGAACUCAAAGGAGACUGCCAGUGAUAAACUGGAGGAAGGUGGGGAUGACGUCAAGUCAUCAUGGCCCUUACGACCAGGGCUACACACGUGCUACAAUGGCGCAUACAAAGAGAAGCGACCUCGCGAGAGCAAGCGGACCUCAUAAAGUGCGUCGUAGUCCGGAUUGGAGUCUGCAACUCGACUCCAUGAAGUCGGAAUCGCUAGUAAUCGUGGAUCAGAAUGCCACGGUGAAUACGUUCCCGGGCCUUGUACACACCGCCCGUCACACCAUGGGAGUGGGUUGCAAAAGAAGUAGGUAGCUUAACCUUCGGGAGGGCGCUUACCACUUUGUGAUUCAUGACUGGGGUGAAGUCGUAACAAGGUAACCGUAGGGGAACCUGCGGUUGGAUCACCUCCUUACCUUAAAGAAGC
rnacentral:rRNA from 5 species